CCAACAGGGAUUGCCCUAGUAACGGCGAGUGAAGCGGCAACAGCUCAAAUUUGAAAUCUGGCCUCGGCCCGAGUUGUAAUUUGCAGAGGAUGUUUCUGGCGCGGUGCCUUCCGAGUUCCCUGGAACGGGACGCCACAGAGGGUGAGAGCCCCGUAUGGUUGGACACCAAGCCUAUGUGAAACUCCUUCGACGAGUCGAGUAGUUUGGGAAUGCUGCUCUAAAUGGGAGGUAAAUCUCUUCUAAAGCUAAAUACCGGCCAGAGACCGAUAGCGCACAAGUAGAGUGAUCGAAAGAUGAAAAGCACCUUGAAAAGGGGGUUAAACAGUACGUGAAAUUGUUGAAAGGGAAGCGCUCAUGACCAGACUUGUGCCGGGCGGUUCAUCCGGGGUUCUCCCCGGUGCACUCCGCCCGGUUCAGGCCAGCAUCGGUUCUCGUUGGGGGAUAAGAACGGUAGGAACGUGGCCCUCCCUCGGGAGGGUGUUAUAGCCUGCCGUACGAUACCCUGAUGGGGACCGAGGUUCGCGCUCCGCAAGGAUGCUGGCGUAAUGGUCAUCAGCGACCCGUCUUGAAACACGGACCAAGGAGUCGUCCAUUAGAGCGAGCGUUUGGGUGUAAAACCCGCACGCGUAAUGAAAGUGAAAUUAGGUGAGAGCUUCGGCGCAUCAUCGACCGAUCCUGAUGUUCUCGGAUGGAUUUGAGUAAGAGUUUUAACGGACGGACCCGAAAGACAGUGAACUAUGCUUGUAUAGGGUGAAGCCAGAGGAAACUCUGGUGGAGGCUCGCAGCGGUUCUGACGUGCAAAUCGAUCGUCAAAUAUGAGCAUGGGGGCGAAAGACUAAUCGAAC
rnacentral:rRNA from 1 species